CUCACAAUGCUCUCCAAGUGGUGCAGGACACCGCUCCUUAAGACCCUCUGCAUCAGCAAGCUUUGUCCAACCCUGGAACAACAACUGUGAUGCCUUGAGCCCCUAAAAUAAACAAAAGCAGGAAACUGGGGAUCAGAUGUGAAGUGAGCAACAAGAAGCAUCCUCCAUGCCAGCCGACUCAGCCCCAUUGGUGACAUGGUAAAUCAGCAGGAAGAUUCUCAUUGCUCCAUUUUUAAUGUCCUCUCCCUAUUUUAAGAGGGAAAAAGGAUACUUAAUUCAUUAUCAUGGAUACUUAAUUCAAAUUAUCUUAGACUCUGUUCAAGUAAAUAAAUUAUGCAUAUAAAACUUCAUGAAUUGAUAAAAUAAUUUAUCAUUGUUACCAGUUCUUAUAGUGCCUUUUCAUGUAGAAACUAGCACGGUCUUUAUAAAGCAUCAAAAAACAGAGAAUACUGAACUUUGGUUUAAACAAGUUACUGGGAAGCACGUCAAGUUUUUACAUAAAAACUGUGAACACUCAUACAAGAGAAAAAGAAAAUACAGCAUUCUGUUUAAUACUUAAAAGUUUAGAAACUGAGAGCCAUUCUCAUUAUGGAAAAAAUAUAACAUCUGCA